GAUGAACGCUGGCGGCGUGCCUAAUACAUGCAAGUCGAGCGAACAGACGAGGAGCUUGCUCCUCUGACGUUAGCGGCGGACGGGUGAGUAACACGUGGAUAACCUACCUAUAAGACUGGGAUAACUUCGGGAAACCGGAGCUAAUACCGGAUAAUAUAUUGAACCGCAUGGUUCAAUAGUGAAAGACGGUUUUGCUGUCACUUAUAGAUGGAUCCGCGCCGCAUUAGCUAGUUGGUAAGGUAACGGCUUACCAAGGCAACGAUGCGUAGCCGACCUGAGAGGGUGAUCGGCCACACUGGAACUGAGACACGGUACAGACUCCUACGGGAGGCAGCAGUAGGGAAUCUUCCGCAAUGGGCGAAAGCCUGCCGGAGCAACGCCGCGUGAGUGAUGAAGGUCUUCGGAUCGUAAAACUCUGUUAUUAGGGAAGAACACAUGUGUAAGUAACUAUGCACGUCUUGACGGUACCUAAUCAGAAAGCCACGGCUAACUACGUG
rnacentral:rRNA from 1 species